AUUGAACGCUAGCGGCAUGCCUAACACAUGCAAGUCGAACGAGUGGCGGACGGGUGAGUAAGAUAUCGGAACGGGCCCAGGAUCGGGCGACAACUACUCGAAACAGUGGCUAAUACCGCAUACUAUUGUAGCGGCCGAGAUCGGAUUAGCGAGUUGGUGGGGUAAAGGCUAACGAAGGCGACGAUCCGUAGCUGGUUUGAGAGGACGACCAGCCACACUGUGACUGCGACACGGCCCAGACUCCUACGGGAGGCAGCAGUGGGGAAUGUUGGACAAUGGGCGAAACCCUGAUCCAGCCAUGCCGCGUGUAUGAGAAGGCCUUCGGGUUGUAAAGCACUUUUGUCAGAGAAGCGGUAUCUGCAGAAUAAGCACCGGCUAACUACGUGCCAGCAGCCGCGGUAAUAC
rnacentral:rRNA from 1 species